rnacentral:tRNA from 1 species
GGGUGUAGCUCAGUGAUGGAGCGCAUGCUUAGCAUGGACAAGGUCCUGGGUUCAAUUCCCAGUACAUCCA